rnacentral:rRNA from 1 species
GGCUCAGAACGAACGCUGGCGGCAGGCUUAACACAUGCAAGUCGAGCGCCCCGCAAGGGGAGCGGCAGACGGGUGAGUAACGCGUGGGAAUCUACCCUUUUCUACGGAAUAACGCAGGGAAACUUGUGCUAAUACCGUAUAAGCCCUUCGGGGGAAAGAUUUAUCGGGAAAGGAUGAGCCCGCGUUGGAUUAGCUAGUUGGUGGGGUAAAGGCCUACCAAGGCGACGAUCCAUAGCUGGUCUGAGAGGAUGAUCAGCCACAUUGGGACUGAGACACGGCCCAAACUCCUACGGGAGGCAGCAGUGGGGAAUAUUGGACAAUGGGCGCAAGCCUGAUCCAGCCAUGCCGCGUGAGUGAUGAAGGCCCUAGGGUUGUAAAGCUCUUUCACCGGUGAAGAUAAUGAC